rnacentral:rRNA from 1 species
GACGAACGCUGGCGGCGUGCCUAAUACAUGCAAGUAGAACGCUGAAGGAGGAGCUUGCUUCUCUGGAUGAGUUGCGAACGGGUGAGUAACGCGUAGGUAACCUGCCUGGUAGCGGGGGAUAACUAUUGGAAACGAUAGCUAAUACCGCAUAAUAUUGACUAUUGCAUGAUAGUCAGUUGAAAGGUGCAACUGCACCACCACCAGAUGGACCUGCGUUGUAUUAGCUAGUUGGUGGGGUAACGGCUCACCAAGGCGACGAUACAUAGCCGACCUGAGAGGGUGAUCGGCCACACUGGGACUGAGACACGGCCCAGACUCCUACGGGAGGCAGCAGUAGGGAAUCUUCGGCAAUGGACGGAAGUCUGACCGAGCAACGCCGCGUGAGUGAAGAAGGUUUUCGGAUCGUAAAGCUCUGUUGUAAGAGAAGAACGAGUGUGAGAGUGGAAAGCUCACACUGUGACGGUAUCUUACCAGAAAGGGACGGCUAACUACGUG